GAUGAACGCUAGCGACAGGCUUAACACAUGCAAGUCGAGGGGCAGCACGGGAGUAGCAAUACAACUGGUGGCGACCGGCGCACGGGUGAGUAACGCGUAUGCAACCUACCUAUCAGAGGGGAAUAACCCGGCGAAAGUCGGACUAAUACCGCAUAAAACAGGGGCACCGCAUGGUGAUAUUUGUUAAAGAGAUUCGCUGAUAGAUGGGCAUGCGUUCCAUUAGGUAGUUGGUGAGGUAACGGCUCACCAAGCCGACGAUGGAUAGGGGAACUGAGAGGUUGGUCCCCCAACUGGUACUGAGACACGGACCAGACUCCUACGGGAGGCAGCAGUGAGGAAUAUUGGUCAAUGGGCAGAGCCUGAACCAGCCAAGUCGCGUGAAGGAAGAAGGAUCUAUGGUUCGUAAACUUCUUUUAGAAGGGAAUAAAAAGGUUAACGUGUAACUUAUUGUAUGUACUUUACGAAUAAGGAUCGGCUAACUCCGUGCCAGCAGCCGGGUAAUCAUA
rnacentral:rRNA from 1 species